rnacentral:rRNA from 1 species
UACGUAGGGUGCGAGCGUUAAUCGGAAUUACUGGGCGUAAAGUGUGCGCAGGCGGCCGAGCAAGUCGAGUGUGAAAGCCCCCGAGCUUAACUUGGGAAUUGCGCUCGAAACUACUUGGCUGGAGUGUGGCAGAGGAAGGUGGAAUUCCACGUGUAGCGGUGAAAUGCGUAGAGAUGUGGAGGAACACCGAUGGCGAAGGCAGCCUUCUGGGCCAACACUGACGCUCAUGCACGAAAGCGUGGGGAGCAAACAGG